CCUACGGGAGGCAGCAGUGGGGAAUAUUGGACAAUGGGCGAAAGCCUGAUCCAGCAAUUCCGCGUGUGUGAAGAAGGCCUUCGGGUUGUAAAGCACUUUAGUGGGGGAAGAAACAGCUUGGCCACACCAAGCCUUGACGGUACCCCAAGAAUAAGCACCGGCUAACUCUGUGCCAGCAGCCGCGGUAAUACAGAGGGUGCAAGCGUUAAUCGGAUUUACUGGGCGUAAAGGGUGCGUAGGUGGCUAUUUAAGUCGGAUGUGAAAGCCCGGGGCUCAACCUCGGAAUUGCAUUCGAUACUGAGUGGCUAGAGUUCGGUAGAGGGCGGCGGAAUUUCCGGUGUAGCGGUGAAAUGCGUAGAUAUCGGAAGGAACAUCAAUGGCGAAGGCAGCCGCCUGGGCCUGGACUGACACUGAGGCACGAAAACGUGGGUAGCAAACAGGAUUAGAUACCCUGGUAGUCCACGCCGUAAACGAUGAGAACUUGACGUUGGUUCGUUUUACGAAUCGGUGUCGCAGCUAACGCGAUAAGUUCUCCGCCUGGGGAGUACGGCGCAAGGUUGAAACUCAAAUGAAUUGACGGCUGNGAGNGCGAGCGACGACGAGGGAGAG
rnacentral:rRNA from 1 species